GCCAUCGUAGCACAAUGGUAGUGCGUUGCUUUCCUAUCACAAGGGAAUCACCAGGCAGAGGCUGUGGGUUCGAGUCCCAUCGAUGGUU